CGGGCACCGGCACGGCCCGCUGCAGUUCUGGCCGACGGCCGGCUGCAGGGAGGACAGGGCGGUCAGCGGCGCUCGGUCGGCGCGCACGCCCUCCCCGGCCGGCCCCGAGUCCCUCCCUGGCAGCCGCCGGCCGCAGCGGGGGCUCCCGGCGCUUACCCGGCUGCAGAGGGCGAGGAGGACCACGAAGGCGACGCGGACGGGGCCCAUACUGGCGGCGGUCAUGGUUGGCACUGCGGGCGGAGCGGAGGGCGCGGUGGCGGCGAGCGGGGAGCGGCGGGGCCUGGAGCGCUGGCGGUGGUCGGAGGUAUUUCCUAUAUCUUCCUGUCUUUUCCAUGGCCAAAAAUGAUCAAGUGUCCUUCUGAACAGACCUUCACAUGGAUGAUAUUUGC
rnacentral:lncRNA from 10 species